UGGGGAAGUAUUGCACAAUGGGGGAAACCCGUGAUGCAGCGACGCCGCGUGGGUGAAGAAGUACUUCGGUACGUAAAGCCCUAUCAGCAGGGAAGAAAAAUGACGGUACCUGAUUAAGAAGCCCCGGCUAACUACGUGCC
rnacentral:rRNA from 1 species